CUUGAACGCUGGCGGCAGGCCUAACACCUGCAAGUCGAACGAGUGGCGGACAGGUGAGUAAUGUCUUGGAAACUGCCUGAUGGAGGGGGAUAACUACUGUAAACGGUAGCUAAUACCGCCUACCAUCGGAUGUGCCCCGAUGGGGUUUGCUAGUAGGUGGGGUAAAGGCUCACCUAGGCGACGCUCCCUAGCUGGUCUGAGAGGAUGACCAGCCACACUGGAACUGAGACACGGUCCAAACUCCUACGGGAGGCAGCAGUGGGGAAGAGUGCACAAUGGGCGCAAGCCUGAUGCAGCCAUGCCGCGUGUAUGAAGAAGGCUCUCGGGUUGUAAAGUACUUUCAGCGGGGAGGCGUUACCCGCAGAAGAAGCCCCGGCGAACUCCGUGCCAGCAGCCGCGGUAAUUC
rnacentral:rRNA from 1 species